GGGGAUGGAGCUCAGUGGUAGAGCAUGUGCUUAGUGAGCAUGCACGAGGUCCUGGAUUCAAUCCCAGCACCCCGG
rnacentral:tRNA from 1 species